AUCGCUUCUCGGCCUUUUGGCUAAGAUCAAGUGCAGUCUUAAUACUCACUGCUAAGUGAUUUAACUCUUUUGUUGUUCACUUUUGGUUUUUUUUUUUUUAAGUAGAAAUUUCUAAGGGAGGGAUUUCAGUUACCUGCUGUGAUGCCCCAGUUUGU
rnacentral:snRNA from 1 species